UGCAUCUGAAGCCUGACGAGGAUGAGAACCUCCGGGAGCAAGAGGUUCGACCCGAGCGAAGCGAGAGAACGUUGCGUCAGCAACGGCCCGCAGGGCGAGCCACGCAGUGGCGAGUCAUCCUCUAUCACCGACCA
rnacentral:sRNA from 4 species